AUCUGAGGAGGGAAGGAGGGAAAGGGAGGGGAGGCUGAAACUCGGUAGAUGCAAGAGGACAAAGGCCAGGUAUGUGGAGCAUUUGGGGCAGAUAAGCCCUUCUCUGCGCGCAGCAUGGUGCAGGUGUUGGGGCGGCCCACUGGCCCCACGACUCACUGCUUCUCUGACAUCGGCACCCUGCCCACGCCUGCCUGGGUGCUCUGUCACGUCCUCCUCGUCGGCUGCGUCCCCCACGUAUGCUGCAUCCGCCUCCCGGGAUGCAGCUCUCCAAGCCCUGGACACCCCCACAUUCCCUGGGAGCUCUUAAGCUACAAAAUGACCUCCUCCCAUGGCCAUGGAAUCUUCCCUCCCCUGGAGCAGAGCAACAGGGUCAUGACAGUGAGUGCCUUUCCAUCCCUAGGGCCAUGACAGUGAGUGCCUAGAGGAUUUAUGCCAGGUGAACAGAGAGAAGUGGAGCUCACGCCAGCUGAUAUCCCCUCCAGACACAGCAAGACCUUGAAGGAAAGCUCUGCACCCUGCCUCAGCAAUCACACCAAAGAGAAACGUUUCAAUGUCAAUGAAAUGUUAAGUGACCUGGAAGCAGCAAUAUAUUUCAGUGAUUUUUAUAAUUGGAUAUUAAAAUUAUUUUCUAUUUAAAUUUCUGAUAGAACCUGAGAAAUUGGUUAACAAGAUUGUAAUAGGACACUGAAGACCACUUUAGAGUGGAUAACUGACUUUCAUCUCUCCUGCAUGGCGGUGGAUGAGAAAUGGCCUACUAUAUUGAAAAUAAUUCUCAGUGUCAUAUCGACUAGUGAUGUCUGUCCUUCAUAUCAACUAGUGAUGUCUGUCCUGACCAGAGAGGUGAGCAUAUAUGCAUAGUUAGGGUAUUUGUCACACCUGAGCUAGUUUCUUCCUAUCUACUGGUUACACCUAGUAAAGCUAGACCUGGCUUCCCUGGGUGCAGGUCUUCUCUAGGCAGAGCUGAAAACGAAAGAUGUAUUGAUAUGGAUUUUGUGUUAGGUUACCCAGAACUGAGUACAGAAGAUGAAGCUCUUUAUACACAUUUUUUCUGACCUCACAACAAUUGCACAAGCUAGGUACGAGUAUGCCCAUUCUACAGAUUAGGAAACAUGAUUUCCUUGGACCGCUAAGUGACUGUUAAGAGGCAGAGCUGGAAUCUUCCAUUCGGCCCCACUGUGUUCCAAUAAGGCCAACAAUUACAGAAGCUUUCGUUCUCCUCUGCUCUUGCUGAAUCAUCCAGGCAAACUUCUCCACCUGCAUUUGGCUUUGAGUCUGGGGCAAAGCCUUGGCUUUCACCAUGGACAGUUGUGUGGUCCCUCUAGGGUUGGGAAACACUGUGUUUUGUCCCACACAGACCAGCUUAGGGUAGGAACACGUUUUUCACGGACUCACCUUUAGACAGUCAUUUCUCUGCAAGCAGAGACAAGGCUGGGUGCUGACUCAGGAAUGCUUGGAUGAUCUGGGGUUGUUUGUUUAAGCAGAACUGAGAGCUUGAAAACCUGCAUUCUCUUCACCAGCUCCUCAGCCGUGGGCCAAGAGCUUGAGGGGCCUCAGCAGACUCAUCAUGGAUGACCCUGAGAUUUCUCUCCUCUCACUUGUAUCCCAGCUUCUUUGAAUUGUUUUUGUGCUAAUUUUGCCAAUGUUUCAAUACUAAGCAAAUUUG